AGUGAACGCUGGCGGUAGGCCUAACACAUGCAAGUCGAACGGCAGCACAGUAAGAGCUUGCUCUUACGGGUGGCGAGUGGCGGACGGGUGAGGAAUACAUCGGAAUCUACUUUUUCGUGGGGGAUAACGUAGGGAAACUUACGCUAAUACCGCAUACGACCUACGGGUGAAAGCAGGGGAUCUUCGGACCUUGCGCGAUUGAAUGAGCCGAUGUCGGAUUAGCUAGUUGGCGGGGUAAAGGCCCACCAAGGCGACGAUCCGUAGCUGGUCUGAGAGGAGGAUCAGCCACACUGGAACUGAGACACGGUCCAGACUCCUACGGGAGGCAGCAGUGGGGAAUAUUGGACAAUGGGCGGAAGCCUGAUCCAGCCAUACCGCGUGGGUGAAGAAGGCCUUCGGGUUGUAAAGCCCUUUUGUUGGGAAAGAAAAGCAGCAGGUUAAUACCCCGCUGUUCUGACGGUACCCAAAGAAUAAGCACCGGCUAACUUCGUG
rnacentral:rRNA from 1 species